UACGUAGGGUGCGAGCGUUGUCCGGAAUUAUUGGGCGUAAAGAGCUCGUAGGCGUCUGUCGCGUCGAUCGUGAAAACUUGGGGCUUAACCCUGAGCUUGCGGUCGAUACGGCAUGACUGGAGUUCGGCAGGGAGACUGGAAUUCCUGGUGUAGCGGUGAAUGCGUAGAGAUCAGGAGGAACACCCGUGGCGAAGCGGCACUCUGGUCGGCCUGACGCUGAGCGCGAAGCGUGGGAGCAACAGG
rnacentral:rRNA from 1 species